rnacentral:rRNA from 1 species
AACGAACGCUGGCGGCAUGCCUAACACAUGCAAGUCGAACGAUCCCUUCGGGGAUAGUGGCGCACGGGUGCGUAACGCGUGGGAACCUGCCCUUAGGUUCGGAAUAACUCAGAGAAAUUUGAGCUAAUACCGGAUAAUGUCCUCGGACCAAAGAUUUAUCGCCUUUGGAUGGGCCCGCGUUGGAUUAGCUAGUUGGUGGGGUAAAGGCCUACCAAGGCGACGAUCCAUAGCUGGUCUGAGAGGAUGAUCAGCCACACUGGGACUGAGACACGGCCCAGACUCCUACGGGAGGCAGCAGUGGGGAAUAUUGGACAAUGGGCGAAAGCCUGAUCCAGCAAUGCCGCGUGAGUGAUGAAGGCCUUAGGGUUGUAAAGCUCUUUUACCCGGGAUGAUAAUGACAGUACCGGGAGAAUAAGCCCCGGCUAACUCCGUG